CAGCAGCCGCGGGAAUACGUAGGGGGCAAGCGUUGUCCGGAAUUAUUGGGCGUAAAGCGCGCGCAGGCGGUUUUUUAAGUCUGGUGUCUAAGUGCGGGGCUCAACCCCGUGACGCACUGGAAACUGGGAGACUUGAGUGCAGAAGAGGAGAGCGGAAUUCCACGUGUAGCGGUGAAAUGCGUAGAGAUGUGGAGGAACACCAGUGGCGAAGGCGGCUCUCUGGACUGUAACUGACGCUGAGGCGCGAAAGCGUGGGGAGCAAACAGGAUUAGAUACCCCGGUAGUCCCUGUCUCUUAUACA
rnacentral:rRNA from 1 species